UUUUUGGAGAGUUUGAUCCUGGCUCAGGACGAACGCUGGCGGCGUGCCUAACACAUGCAAGUCGAACGGUCUAAUGCUUAACACUGAGUGUUCAGUAAAAGUUGGGACAGCGAGAGCGCGAAGAAUGAGCGCUCCACGCAUUAAAUAAGUGCCAACACACAGAUAGGGUGUAUUACCUGUUCUGUGAGAAAUACUCAAAUCCUAUCUGUGGAAGCUGAAUGUUGAGUGUUAAGUAUUAGAUAGUGGCGGACGGGUGAGUAACGCGUGGGUAACCUACCCAUAAAGCCGGGACAACCCUUGGAAACGAGGGCUAAUACCGGAUAAUCUUAGAUGCUGGCAUCAGCGUUUAAGGAAAGGUGGCCUCUGAAGAUGCUACCGAUUAUGGAUGGACCCGCGUCUGAUUAGCUAGUUGGUGGGGUAAAGGCCUACCAAGGCGACGAUCAGUAGCCGGC
rnacentral:ncRNA from 1 species